rnacentral:rRNA from 3 species
CUCGGAUCAGGUAGGGAUACCCGCUGAACUUAAGCAUAUCAAUAAGCGGAGGAAAAGAAACCAACAGGGAUUGCCUCAGUAACGGCGAGUGAAGCGGCAAGAGCUCAAAUUUGAAAGCUGGCUCCUUCGGGGUCCGCAUUGUAAUUUGCAGAGGAUGCUUCGGGUGCGGCCCCUAUCUAAGUGCCCUGGAACGGGCCGUCGGAGAGGGUGAGAAUCCCGUCUGGGAUAGGGUGUCCGCGUCCGUGUGAAGCUCCUUCGACGAGUCGAGUUGUUUGGGAAUGCAGCUCUAAAUGGGUGGUAAAUUUCAUCUAAAGCUAAAUACUGGCCGGAGACCGAUAGCGCACAAGUAGAGUGAUCGAAAGAUGAAAAGCACUUUGAAAAGAGAGUUAAAAAGCACGUGAAAUUGUUGAAAGGGAAGCGCUUGCGACCAGACUCGCCUUCAGGGUUCAGCCGGCACUCGUGCCGGUGUACUUCCCUGGAGGCGGGCCAGCGUCGGUUUGGGCGGCCGGUCAAAGGCUCCCGGAAUGUAGUGCCCUCCGGGGCACCUUAUAGCCGGGAGUGCAAUGCGGCCAGCCUGGACCGAGGAACGCGCUUCGGCACGGACGCUGGCAUAAUGGUCGCAAACGACC